ensembl:lncRNA
AGUCCAGCUGACACAGUUGGCACAGUCUGAGUUACAAGCUUAAGGAAGAAAGCUGCUGAAUCCUCUCAGGGAGGACUUGCAGAUUGGUUUUGGGCUGGAUUCCUGCCUAGUAGAAAGAGUAACCAGAUAUUCAGUUUCCUGUCUAACCACAGUUUAUGCAAAAUAGACUGGAGAGAAUAACCAUGCCAGGUUAUGAAGGCAGACUUGAACUUCAUACAGGUCUUCUGCACUGCUAACCAAAAUGGAUUAUUAUUUCAUUGUGUGACAGUGCUCAUCAGUGAUAAAUUUGUCAUUCAAAGUUGGUCUGCAAGGAUAUCUUUUUUCUACAAGGGUAAGUGUCUUUUCCCAGCUCUUUUAUCAAUAUCAAUUCAUAAACAGUAAAGAAACACAUCUGGCAAGGCUGCAUUAACAUAUAGGAGUAUAAUAAAUGGUACCAAAGGAAGGCAUAGAAAUGAUACAGUGAUGAUGUGUUCCCAUGAAGUACAGCAUGGUUUAACAACCACAUCCAGAUAAAUAAGAAUAUAUUUCUCAUUCAAUUAAAAAAGAAAAGGAAGACAAAAUAAAAUUAUGCACAGGUUAAAUAAGUAAAUUUACAUGGAAAUUAGUUUAAAAAACAUUUCAUAAAGUUUCUUGAUGAGAAAAAUUCAUCACAUAUAGAAAGGUUAAAAGUCAGUGAACUUUCUAUUGAAAUGUUUCCCUGCGAAAGUACAUACAGAUAUUUUCCAUCAAUCUAUAAUUUUGUUUGUUAAAUCAAAUAAAUUUCCAUAAACAAUUUUGAUUACGUACAUGAACAGUCAUAAAUAUAUAUUAAUAAUAUGCAUCUACAGAGAUAUUAUAUGUAUAUUUUAAGUGGUAUUAUUAUGAGUUUUUCUUUAUCCGAAUGUGGUUUUAUCAUAAUACUGAUAUGUAAAUUGAAUUUCUAGGUAUCAUAAGAAAUCUGCAAAGAUAAAACUGAAACUACACAUGUAACCAAGAAAGUUUAUAUUGAACUUAUUUCAUAAAAAUGUCACUAAAAUGCAGUCAAUGGCUCAAUAUCCAAGUUGAGAUCAGUAACAAAAGACAUUUCUCAGGAGUCACUAUUUGGACCAGCACUGUUUAACAUCUUUGUUGGCACUAGGACAAUGGAAUUUAGUGCACCCUUGGGCAACUUUGCUGACUACAGCAAUCUGUGUGGUGCAGUGGACAUGCUGCAGGGUAGGGAUGACAUCCAAAGGGACCUUGGCAUGUUUGAGAUGUAGUUGAAAAAUAUAAAAUGCAAGAUUCCAUACCUGGGACAGGGCAAUCCCAAAAACAAAUACAAGCUGGGCAGAGGUUUGGCAAGGUUUGCAAGAACAGAACAGAAAGGACAGAAAAGGGCUUUGGGGUACGAGUGUAUGUAGUGAGAGGACAAGAUGGGGAUGGAUUCUAAUACCUAAAAGGGGGUUUAUGAAAGCAAGGGUAGAUAGUGACAAAGAAAAGGGGCAAUGGUUUCAAACUGAAAGAGGGCAGAUUUAGUUUAAAUAUUAGGGAGAAAGUCUUUACUGUAAGGGUGGUGAGGCACUGGAGGAGGUUUUCCAGAGAAGUUGUGAAUAUCUCAUCCCUGGAAGUGUUCAAGGCCAGGUUGGGUUAAAAAAUUUAGUCCAGUGGAAGGUCUCUGCAGGAGUGCUGCAAUUAGAGGAUCUUUAAGGUCUCUUGCAAUCCAAACCAUUCUGGUUCUGUGCAAAUACUAGGUUUAUAGAAAUAUCUGCACCAAAGAAAAAGUCACAGGGUGCAUAGAUAAACAGGUUGUCUCAAGUGUACAGGCCAUAUGUAAGAAAAGACAUACAAAAGAGUAAUUGACAUAAGAGUCUAGAAUUAGAGAAAAUGAAAAUAUAUUGUUGAAGAAUCAAUUAACCUUGGGAAAGGGAUCCCAACUUAACCAUUUCGAUCACCAUUAAAUUUGAUCAUAACUAGGAUCAUAAGUAAAGCUACAUUUGAUACAUAAUGCUGUAGUAAACUCCACUGAGUUGUGCAGGUGUUCCUUUCUUGAGAAACAGUUAUGCAAAAUUUAUCACUCGUGACCUUUAUGUUAUUGCUAAUUACAUCAGCAUUGCUUUAUUGUUUUUAAAGUGAACUGUGAAUCUGGUCGCAGAACUUUCUGGUUCUGUUUGGACUGAGUACUUGAUUUGAGGACUGCCUAUAGAGGUAGUGUGGGCAGCCUAGACUACAAGGUAUCUGGACUAUUAAUACUAUUAAUCAAUUUAAAUUUUUAUUUUCAAUUGCUGAAGUCAGAACAUAUCCAGAUAGGGUCUCAAUCAGUGUGCUUCAAUUUGGGCAGCAGCUUCACUAUUUCAGUCCCGAGUUAUCCUCCAAAAAGGACUGCCAAUUAUGCUGAACAUAAUAAAAUUGUAUGGUAGCUUUUGUGAGGUUUCAUUUUAUUGAAUUUUUAAAUUGUGCCUUAUUACAGCUAAUUUUCACUGUUUGUACAGACUGCAAUUCUGCCCUUAUCAUCCUGCUACACGUAUCAUCCUUUGUGUUAUUUUUUUGAUGAUUCACAUUUAGUUAUAAUACAUAUGAAUUUUUCACUUGUUCUUUUUAGGUACAGAUGGUGAAUUAAAGCAUAACAUUGCACUUUAUUAAAAUAGAGGAACUGUUUUAAGAAUCUUAAAGGUAGGAUGAGAAGAAUAUGGAGGAAAAUUAUGCCAAUUAAAAAAAAAUAUCCAAAAUUCAUUUGUAAACAUGAAAAAAGGGCAUCAGAAUAAUGCUAAGGAGAUCUCUAUCCACUUUUAUUGCAGUGUCUUUAGUCACAGAGUAAAUCAGAUCAGCUGGUAUUCAUCUCAUCUCAUCUCAUCCAUCUUCUGCUAGCUAAAACUUUGUUUUCUGAAUGCAAGGUCUCCCAGUUUAAACUCUGAUACAAAAUACAGGUACCUCUAGGAAAAUGUUCAUCUCAUCUGUAUGCAUGUUUUCUAUACAACCACAAAAUAGGGAAAUUAAAUCGUGAUAUAUCCAACUAUUUCCUAUUUUGUUUGCAACAACAAGGAUUGCCCUUCAAACAAACAAACAAAACAAAACCUAUUGAACUCCCUGGAUCAUAGUAACACUGAAAAUGAAAACAACAUGAAGAAAGCAUGUUAUAUAAGUGCUCCUAAUAUAAAUCAGGCAUCAUGACACUAUUGUAAUACAAAUAGAACAAUAUUUUCUGUCAUGUGUUUCAUCCAAUAUUCUAUAUUAAUAAAAUGGAAAUAUUUAUCAAUUUAAAUAACAUACAACAGAAAUGAAGAGUAGCACAGGAGUAAUGCAGAAAUGUUUUUUGAAACCUAAGAAGGGAGGUUGUCAUGGAAACAGCUGGGUUAGAAAUAUUUUUGUUGCUACAGUUUCAUUCAGCUGCUGAUGCUUAAUCUUUAUGUUAUUCUAAUAAUUUAAUCUUCCUUAAGUCAUCAAUGAUUUUAUUUUUUUCAGAAUAAAGUAUUAAGUUAAGAACUUCUCAGAUAUAAAGAAAAGACUAAUGGCAUAUUCAUGUACACUGAAACACACAAAAAUGAAAAUUUUCAGUUUACUCCUACUCUCAUCUAGCUGAAAGACUAAAAGAAAAGUGAGUAAAAGAGUGAGUCAUUCCCUACAUAAAAGGCUAUCAUGAUUACACAAUAUUUUGCCUCAAGUGAACAAAAGGAAGAAGUAAACCUGCAAAAACAAUCUCACCAAAUUUGAAACACUUAAAAUAUUUAUCCUAUACGAAUAAAACAGGUGAACUUAAAAAUUCAACUAAAAAAACUCAUCUAUAAAAGUAAUUUAAAAACAAAAGAAAUUUAAAAUUAAAACUCUAAAAUAAACAAGUAGCAGGUUAAUCAGAAAAGGAAACGAGUAGUUAGUGACUAAAAAUAAAAAUUCUUGCUAACUAGCCUGUCUGCAAGAAACAGAAAUUUAAUUAGUCUUCAAACAUGCCUGCAACAAAUACAAGAUUCUAAAUAUUUGUUUUCAUAGAGAAAAAAGGUGAAAUACCAAAGGAAGCAGAAGGGAAAGGGUAACAGGUCACACAUCUUCAUAAAACCACCUGAAGGAAGCAAUAUAAAACAAAUUUGAAAGCAACCCCAAAGAAUUAAUAGUGUUUCGAUGAGCAAUAUAAAUAGCCAAAAUGAAAAAAAAAACAUCAGGGACUGAUAAAAACAAUCUGAAGACUGAGCCACAUAAAAGAAAAAGAAUGUACAAACAAACUUCAAGGCAAUAAAACAUACAGGGAAUGGAUCCAUGGGUUUGAAAUUGUACAUUAUUUCUUGGAACAAGAUCUGAUCUAAGAGUCUCUAUGGAUCCUUUUUUCCUGCUAAGCAUACUGGUUCACUGAUAGGUAAAACAUUUUCUGGACACAUUAAUCUUAACAAAGGUUGGAACACAACACAGGUCCUUUAGGACUUUCUCAUCAGUUAUCUGCACUUCAAUUUUCUGAUAGAUUUUUGUGGAGAAUUACAUUCAUUCUAUAUUGAGCCAACACCAUAUUAGUUCCAACAUCACAUAUUAAAUCAAGUAUCAAAUAGUAGCUGUACAUAUAUAAUCACUUGAAUUUCCUUGACCAUUGCCUUCAUCACUGAAGAUGGUAUUAGGUUGCACUUUUAUUGCACUGAAUUCAGAAUACAUAUUAAUCAAUACUGAUCAGUCCUUAUGUUUCUAAUGAUAAAGAUCAUAUGGGGACAGCAAGUGAUGGCAAGAAACAGUGCCUACCAUUUUCCUCAGUAUUUUUGGUACUGACUGGAGGUUUACUCUACUCCAAGGAAAGAGGCUAGAAUUUCUUCCAAUAAAAUUGAUGAAAAAAAAAGACGAUACUAUUUAACAACACACGAUGCCUUGCUGUGUUGGAACAAAAGUUUCAGACUCCUUGGAAUACCUUGCUUUUCCAGUGUCACCUUCCAGACAGAGCUGCUAUAGGUGUAGCACUUAGCUCUACCACAGUACUGAGUAGAAGGUUUAUUUAGGGCCCUUCCAUCCUGCUUAUAGGACUUAUUGUUAAAGUUCUUUCCCCCUAUUGCAAGAAUUUUAUAAAAAAAUUCUUACGUUGCUUGUAUCAAUGAAUAACCUGAAAUUAAAUAUUUUAGAACUUUCUUCCUACAAGCUUCAUCCUUUGUUCCAAGAGAGACUCAAGGAUGUUAAAAUAAUGAAGGUUCAUAUUUUUACUUUUCUUUUUCUUAAAUCAGCUGAUUCACAGCACUGAUGCUUGUGGGUGUGUGGCAGAUUCACCCUGUAUGGCUUCCAGACCUCUACCCAGCUAGCUGCUUUCUUACUCCCUCUUGUUAGCAGGAUGGGGAGAGAAAAUUAGAUUAAAUAUAUCAUUGGUUGAGAUAAAGACAUGGAAAUCCCUUACUAGAUAUCCCAGAUUGAGAAGCAAGAUGUAUUCUAUUACCAUCUGUAUGGCACUUUUCUUCUGUUAAGUGAGCGGUUUUCCUUAUCUCUUCCAGAACCAGUCCUCCCUCAGGGAAGACUUUUGCUGAUACUGGGCUAUUGAUUGUCACUGCGUGAUUGAUAAGAACAAUAACAUCCCAUUGUGAGAUGCUCCGCCCAGAGGGAGGAGCCAAGCAUUUCUACCAGGAUAUAAACUUGAGUUUCUGGAACACCAGUACAGCUUUUCCUGCACUGGAUUUCCCAGAGCAGCAGCUGCCUCUUCCACUGCAGGAAGACUACACCCUUUUUCUACAGGAUCACUGCUCCUACAGAACCACACCUGACACUCCAGAAGGACUGCAGCUAUAAUUCCCAGCUGGACUGCUACCAACACCCUGUCCAACAGGGUGUCAGGUUGUAUUCUGACUCUAUCAGUGCUGUUUUGGUUCACUGCAUUGUUUAUUUAUUUUUUUUUUAAAUUUUCUUCCCCAAUAAAGAACUGUUAUUCCUGCUCCCAUAUUUUUUUUUUUUGCCUGAGAGCUCCCCUUAAUUUCAAAUUUAUAACUAUUCAGAGGGAAGGGGUUUACAUUUUUCCAUUUCAAGGGAGGCUCCUGCCUUCCUUAGCAGACACCUGUCUUUCCAAACCUAGACACUAGAAAAAAUUAAGGGAAAAAUAAACUCAACUUGGAGAAAAUGCAUGCAAUUUAUUGUCAAUUAAACCUAGAGUAGGAUAGUGAGGAACAAAGCAAAACAUAAAAGAUAUUACACUUGACCUGACCUGCCUAAAGUUCAGAAAUAAUGCCUGUAAAAUCUCCUGUAAAAGGUCAUCAAUAUAUAGCAGUAACAGGUCACCCGAGCUAUAUUUUUAUGCAAUUUCCCGAAAAACAGUUUCAGAAGAUGUGUUUUACUAAGAGAGAAAAGGACUUAGGAAAUUAUUUCAUGCAAUAUCUAAAGAUAUUGUCUGAUUCUAUUUGAUCUAUCUGUAUUGAUAUAUACUCCCUCUAAUCUUGAGGUGCAAAAAUAAAGAGCAUGCUCUGUCACAAAAUUCCACAAAAGUACACCCUGAAGUGCCCAUUACUGAAAGUAACCAAUACCUUUU